rnacentral:rRNA from 1 species
AUUGAACGCUGGCGGCAUGCUUUACACAUGCAAGUCGAACGGUAACAGGUUAAGCUGACGAGUGGCGAACGGGUGAGUAAUGCAUCGGAACGUGCCCGAUCGUGGGGGAUAACGCAGCGAAAGCUGCGCUAAUACCGCAUACGAUCUGAGGAUGAAAGCGGGGGACCGUAAGGCCUCGCGCGAUCGGAGCGGCCGAUGUCAGAUUAGGUAGUUGGUGGGGUAAAGGCUCACCAAGCCGACGAUCUGUAGCUGGUCUGAGAGGACGACCAGCCACACUGGGACUGAGACACGGCCCAGACUCCUACGGGAGGCAGCAGUGGGGAAUUUUGGACAAUGGGCGAAAGCCUGAUCCAGCAAUGCCGCGUGCAGGAAGAAGGCCUUCGGGUUGUAAACUGCUUUUGUACGGAGCGAAAAGGCUCUCUCUAAUACAGGGGGCUCAUGACGGUACCGUAAGAAUAAGCACCGGCUAACUACGUGCCAGCAGCCGCGGUAAAAC